GGGUGCAUGGCUCAGUGGUAGAGCAUUCGACUACAGAUUGAGAGGUCCCGGGGUUCAAACCCCGAUGCUCCCU